UGUAUAAUGGGUCAGCGACUUAUAUUCUGUAGCAAGGUUAACCGAAUAGGGGAGCCGAAGGGAAACCGAGUCUUAACUGGGCGUUAAGUUGCAGGGUAUAGACCCGAAACCCGGUGAUCUAGCCAUGGGCAGGUUGAAGGUUGGGUAACACUAACUGGAGGACCGAACCGACUAAUGUUGAAAAAUUAGCGGAUGACUUGUGGCUGGGGGUGAAAGGCCAAUCAAACCGGGAGAUAGCUGGUUCUCCCCGAAAGCUAUUUAGGUAGCGCCUCGUGAAUUCAUCUCCGGGGGUAGAGCACUGUUUCGGCAAGGGGGUCAUCCCGACUUACCAACCCGAUGCAAACUGCGAAUACCGGAGAAUGUUAUCACGGGAGACACACGGCGGGUGCUAACGUCCGUCGUGAAGAGGGAAACAACCCAGACCGCCAGCUAAGGUCCCAAAGUCAUGGUUAAGUGGGAAACGAUGUGGGAAGGCCCAGACAGCCAGGAUGUUGGCUUAGAAGCAGCCAUCAUUUAAAGAAAGCGUAAUAGCUCACUGGUCGAGUCGGCCUGCGCGGAAGAUGUAACGGGGCUAAACCAUGCACCGAAGCUGCGGCAGCGACGCUGAUGCGUUGUUGGGUAGGGGAGCGUUCUGUAAGCCUGUGAAGGUGUGCUGUGAGGCAUGCUGGAGGUAUCAGAAGUGCGAAUGCUGACAUAAGUAACGAUAAAGCGGGUGAAAAGCCCGCUCGCCGGAAGACCAAGGGUUCCUGUCCAACGUUAAUCGGGGCAGGGUGAGUCGACCCCUAAGGCGAGGCCGAAAGGCGUAGUCGAUGGGAAACAGGUUAAUAUUCCUGUACUUGGUGUUACUGCGAAGGGGGGACGGAGAAGGCUAUGUUGGCCGGGCGACGGUUGUCCCGGUUUAAGCGUGUAGGCUGGUUUUCCAGGCAAAUCCGGAAAAUCAAGGCUGAGGCGUGAUGACGAGGCACUACGGUGCUGAAGCAACAAAUGCCCUGCUUCCAGGAAAAGCCUCUAAGCAUCAGGUAACAUCAAAUCGUACCCCAAACCGACACAGGUGGUCAGGUAGAGAAUACCAAGGCGCUUGAGAGAACUCGGGUGAAGGAACUAGGCAAAAUGGUGCCGUAACUUCGGGAGAAGGCACGCUGAUAUGUAGGUGAAGUCCCUCGCGGAUGGAGCUGAAAUCAGUCGAAGAUACCAGCUGGCUGCAACUGUUUAUUAAAAACACAGCACUGUGCAAACACGAAAGUGGACGUAUACGGUGUGACGCCUGCCCGGUGCCGGAAGGUUAAUUGAUGGGGUUAGCCGCAAGGCGAAGCUCUUGAUCGAAGCCCCGGUAAACGGCGGCCGUAACUAUAACGGUCCUAAGGUAGCGAAAUUCCUUGUCGGGUAAGUUCCGACCUGCACGAAUGGCGUAAUGAUGGCCAGGCUGUCUCCACCCGAGACUCAGUGAAAUUGAACUCGCUGUGAAGAUGCAGUGUACCCGCGGCAAGACGGAAAGACCCCGUGAACCUUUACUAUAGCUUGACACUGAACAUUGAGCCUUGAUGUGUAGGAUAGGUGGGAGGCUUUGAAGUGUGGACGCCAGUCUGCAUGGAGCCGACCUUGAAAUACCACCCUUUAAUGUUUGAUGUUCUAACGUUGACCCGUAAUCCGGGUUGCGGACAGUGUCUGGUGGGUAGUUUGACUGGGGCGGUCUCCUCCUAAAGAGUAACGGAGGAGCACGAAGGUUGGCUAAUCCUGGUCGGACAUCAGGAGGUUAGUGCAAUGGCAUAAGCCAGCUUGACUGCGAGCGUGACGGCGCGAGCAGGUGCGAAAGCAGGUCAUAGUGAUCCGGUGGUUCUGAAUGGAAGGGCCAUCGCUCAACGGAUAAAAGGUACUCCGGGGAUAACAGGCUGAUACCGCCCAAGAGUUCAUAUCGACGGCGGUGUUUGGCACCUCGAUGUCGGCUCAUCACAUCCUGGGGCUGAAGUAGGUCCCAAGGGUAUGGCUGUUCGCCAUUUAAAGUGGUACGCGAGCUGGGUUUAGAACGUCGUGAGACAGUUCGGUCCCUAUCUGCCGUGGGCGCUGGAGAACUGAGGGGGGCUGCUCCUAGUACGAGAGGACCGGAGUGGACGCAUCACUGGUGUUCGGGUUGUCAUGCCAAUGGCACUGCCCGGUAGCUAAAUGCGGAAGAGAUAAGUGCUGAAAGCAUCUAAGCACGAAACUUGCCCCGAGAUGAGUUCUCCCUGACUCCUUGAGAGUCCUGAAGGAACGUUGAAGACGACGACGUUGAUAGGCCGGGUGUGUAAGCGCAGCGAUGCGUUGAGCUAACCGGUACUAAUGAACCGUGAGG
rnacentral:rRNA from 1 species